rnacentral:lncRNA from 7 species
AGAAAAGAGCUCCCUAAAGGAAUACUCUGUCUAUUUGAAGCCAGAAGGAUACUAUCCAAGGAAGCCAAUUUGCUUUGAGCUGUAGAGCUGUACCAUAAUAAGUGUCAGAGAUUUCCGUGCUCUCCGCCCAUUUCUCAAGAUUGUGGCCGCUGAGGCAAGCAUGCAUCACAAAGAACACUGCUGAGAUAUCGGAGAAGGACAGCUACAAGGUCAGGGGAUUUGAUCAGAACAUCCAUCAAUCUUCUGUAUUGUGCUUUGAUAUGACUACAGUAAAUCUCUGCUUCAUAAGGCUAAGCCUAGAGCCUUAAGCUAUCCAGAAGCUUUGUCUCAGUUGUCACACAUCCUCAGAUGACCAUCCUACCAAAUGACCUCUUUUGUGGAUGGAAGUAAGUGGACUAGAGAGCCUCUGAUAAAAGCAACAGCUGAGAAAGUGCAAUUCUAUACUAAGAAAUCAACUCUACCUCUGCGGUGGUGGUAAUCUCUGUAAAGUUUGCUCAAUGCCAACAGUGACUUAACACAGAUCUUAUGAAAAAUAAAGUGACCCAAAUUCAUAACUGUUGUGAAUGCUUCACUGCUUAAAGCAUUUUUUCAUUAAGGUUGAUUUUAACUCAAGAUCUCCAUCUUAUUCUCUGAAUCCCUGAUAAUGACGUGUUUGACUGUCUCUCUAUAAAAGUCAGAAAACAUUCAGGCUUAGAUUUCAUCCACAAUUCAACAUAAUGGUCUUAAAUAUAAGAAGUGGGAUUAAGUAAGUUAGUUUUGAGAUCUGUUGUAGGUUUAGCCUUUCUUUAGCCCUUUUUCUUUCUUCUCUUUACCUGAUUUGUUCUCUUCCUGUUUAUUGUACUCUUGAAAGAAAGAAUAGCUCUCUGUGUUUAUUGUCCCUAUCAGUUUAAUGUCAGGUCAAAUCUGUAAUUUAAAAUGUUCCUUUUUUGUACUGGCCAAAAAUAAAAAAAAUAAAAUCCAAAACACCACAUCUUAUGAUGAUAUCAUUCACUUUCACUGAACCAUCUGGAGUUCUGGAGAUGAAGCUGCAAACUGUCAACGUCUGAUGGAAAGCAAGUAGAGUUCACUAAAAGGGAAUUUUAAGCUGGAGAAUCAUCCUGUAGAAAGUUUAGUGCAGUUCAAUGCUGGAGGAAGGAAAUCAUUAUCUAUCAAAGAACCUCCUGCCCCAAAGCCAUAGCAUUAGGACAUACCUCGUGCUGUGCCCUUGAAGAUUGUUCAAGUGCUAGAUUUCAGUGGAAAACAGAGUUUGAGUUUGCUUUUUUUUUUGUUUGCUAUUUGCAAAGCUUUUGUUCCAAACAAGAAAAAGAGCUCUAAUCUACCAUAUGAAAACUCCUUUAAUUGAAGGAAAGAAGGAGGACUAGUUUCUGUAUUGAUCACUCCUUUCACUAAUAAAACUGAUACACAUUUGAUUUUAUGUUAUGCAUAAAGCAAGUCAAUUCUGGGUUCCUG